rnacentral:lncRNA from 1 species
CCGCGACGAUGUGGCCCUGGAAGGAGUGGGUCACUUUUUUCGCGAAUUGGCCCUCUUCCUGCUCUAGGUCCCCUCCUGGUCUCAGACUCCCAGCCCACAUGCCCAGGCUCCAUUUACACACCUCCAAACAGCCACUCCUUGGUCACACUUUGGGCCUAGAGGUAUGCAUGCAGUGGCACAAUCUGUGCUACCCAAGACCCAGGAGGAGACCCACACAGACCCUAGAAGAAAGCUCAGAACCCUUGGGAAUUCCAGGACUGUGUCUAAAUGGUGAGAAGGAGGCCUACAGCGGGGCAUGGCCCCUUGAUCUCUGGGAGUCCUCACUCUGUAGGGGUGCUGAGACCAGAGGAGAGACAGGAGGCAAAGUCCAUUAAAGCAUGGAGCCCAGGGAAGGAAGCCCUCUUUCUUGAGCCCCAGAGAAAUACUGCCUGCCCUAGAAGUGUCCACAGAAGCGAUCCUAGGACUUGGACCAAAUUCAGAACUCAAGCCCAAUCAGACAUUUACUGAACAGGAGACAGCAGUAAGGAAAAAGAAUCACAGGGUUCACGAUAAACUCAUGUGUUAAGACAAGCAAACAGUGUGGGAAAACGACUCAGUAGACCCCAAAUUUCACUGCAGUGGGGCUGUCUUGGACAUGACUAAGCUCGAUUUCAAAAGAUGAGCAGGUGAGCAAUGAUGAAAACUUACCUCUUUCCUUCUUGUUUUUAACGUUUUCAGAACAGUUAAGCCCUGCACACACAUUGUUCACACUGGAAAUCAUUUACUCCUAGUAUGAAAGUUCAGUUUGUUUGGACUCUGUAAGUAAAAGGAACUAGAUGUCUAUCAGUUUCCUAAAAUAAUGGGGGUUUGUUGUAAGGUUUUGUUGGGUCAGAUUAUUACCGUAAGUGGAUCUCUAAACCUUCCUCUCUUCCAACACCACACACGAGUCCAGCUGGGUCUGCUUACACAGAUCCCCACCCCUGUAUUGCUAAAUCAGAUUUUGGGGAUUUUGAAAUGCAGAAUGGGGAGAAAAGGAAAAGAACGGGGAAAAACUAGAAAUCCAAAGACUGGAUCUGGGGCAGAAUUAGAGUUUUAUGUAGGAAANNNNUUUUUUUUUAAUUAAUUGGGAGUUUGGGAUUGACAUGUACACACUGCUAUAUUUAAAUUACAUAACCAACAAGCACUGGGAAUUCUCCUCAAUACUCAGCAAUAACCUAAAUGGGAAAAGAAUUUGAAAGAAUAGAUACAUAUAUACGAAUAACUGAAUCAUUGCCAUGCAUCUGAAACUAACACAACAUUGUUAAUCAACUCUAUUGCAAAAUAAAAUGAAAAAUUUUUUGAAAAAUUGGGAUGUUUGUGGGCUUCCCCAGAGGCUCAGUGGUAACGAAUCUGCCUGCAAACGCAGGAGAUAAUAGGUUUGAUAUCCGGCCUGCGAAGAUCCCACAGGCCUCGGAGCAAUUAAGCCCGUGUGCCAGAACUAUGGAACCUGUGCUCUAGAGCCCAGGAGCCACAGCUACUGACGCUCACGUGCCCUAGAGCCUGUGCUCAAAACAAGAGAAGCCACAGCAAUGAGAGGCCCAUGCACCACAACUGGAGAGGAGCUCCCGCUCGCCACAACUAGAGAAAAGCCCAUGCAGCAGCAAAGACCCAGCCCGGCCCCAAAUAAAUAAAUGAAACUAUUUUUUAAAAAUUAAGAUGUUUUAUUUUGGUCUACGUGUCCACUUCACAGUGUUUGAGAUCUACAAGUUGCAGACUGAAGUCAUGUUGAAAUUAAUUUAAUUGCUGGGACACAUUCUGUUGGUGGUGACUUGGUUAUCUGAUGAGACCCUGUGGGAGAAGGCUUUAUGAGCUUACAGGUGUCUGUAGGAAUAAGCAUUUGGGACUCUCACAUAGAUGUGUGGGAACAUCUAUAUUAAUACAUCCAUGGUUAUCAGAACAUAAUGCAACAAUUUUAGAGGUGGUUUAGGAUCAAAAGCAGCUUCAAUAACUCUCAUCAACCACUAUAUGACUCUAUAUACCCACAUCUUGUCUCUAAUCACCCCUGCCACUACCAACUGACCAGCCAGGGUUUUCCUCAGUCCCUGGCUCUGAUGAUUUCAUGCCCUCUGCAUGCUAGCCUCUUUCUGUGUGUAUUUUUUUGGUUCCAGCCAUUGGUUGAAAAUUAAAGCAGUUUGCAAAUCUUCUAGUUCUCUUCCUUCUAAGAAAAUAAGAUUGUGUUUACCAGCCCACUAGAAGUUAUGUGGGGCCAUAUGAUUCUCUUUGGCCAGCGCAGUUGAGUAGAAGUGACACAUGUCAGCUCCAGGGGUAACUUUAAGAGUCAGGAUGUGCUUCACCACGCACUCCCUGUGUCCUCUGCUGUGAUCAUGGCCAGGAUGUCCCAGACAGUGGCUGCUCCAUCAGGCUGAGUCUCAGAGUGAGGAAGCUGACAUUGACAUUGGAAACUGAGCACCUAGACAACCUACAACAAACACGUGGCCCAAACAAGAAAUAANNNNNNNNNNNNNNNNNNNNNNNNNNNNNNNNNNNNNNNNNNNNNNNNNNNNNNNNNNNNNNNNNNNNNNNNNNNNNNNNNNNNNNNNNNNNNNNNNNNUGGCCCAAACAAGAAAUAAACCUGUUUCCUUCAACCAUGGAGAUCUGGGGCUUGUUCGUUACUGCAGCAGAAGCUAGCCCAAUUAGCCCUAUAAAUUAUUCUAACGUUCACUGAAGUCAGCACCACUGACCCAACCUUAUCCCAUUUGAUUCUGCUUCCUUCCAUUAUCUGGCUCUCUGUGUACAGAAAUAAAACACAAGAGAGAAUCUGUCUGGUCCAACUGAAUCACCACCAAUCUACUGGGCAGAACUCUUAUACCACAAUACUUUACAGGCCACUGUCCAGACCAUAAACUGAUUGUCUUGGGCCAUGUGUCUCCUCCAGGUUCAGCCAGCCUUGUUGCCAGAGGACACAGUUGGAGGGGGCAGAAAUGAUCAGUGACACAGAGCAUGGCUACACAUGCCUACAUAAACACCUAGAACUCCCCACUCAGCAUCAGUCAAGGGUAUAGUAAUCCAGAAGGGCCUGUAUGUGUAGCAUGAAUGUCCUCCUCAGUAAAUUAUAACCAAUAUAGAAUAUAGGACAACAAAACAGAAGACUUCAAAGAAGUUGUGAUGGAUUCUACGGAGCUGUCUUAACAAUCAUUUCCCAUCUUCCUCUUUCCUAUUUUAGUUUGCCUUCUGCCAACGGUCAGCUUCCAGAGUUUUACAGCUUAAACCUUUUAAGGUUUAUUAGCCCAGUGUUUCCGAAUCUUGGUGCACCAGACCUUUCACUUCUGAAUCUUGUUUGGGGAUUUGGGAGGAAGGGUAUUUGUAUGGAAGCUUUAUCAAGGAAGAAGACAGAGUGUACAGCUAAAUUUGAAUUUCAGAUAAAUAAUGAAUUUUUUAGUAUAAGUAUGCCCCAUGCAAUAUUUGAGAAAUACUUAUACUAUAAACAUUAUAAAUUCAAAUUUAACUAGACCUCCCUGGACAGGGAAACCAGGGACAAGGGCAGUGGCUGGAGGGAGGCAGAGCAACAUUUUUAAAGUUCCCCUAGUGAUUACCACUUGGGAAUUAAGAUUGAGAAUCUCUGGUCUUUCUCAAUCCAUCCUCAACCUCGUGGGAUAAAAGUUAUUAUUUUCUAUCAUUAGAGCUCUGAGUAAGUGUAGAAUGGAAUUCUUCUUUUUCAAAUAUACUUUAGAUGAUGGAUUUCACAUUCAUUCACUUCUGCUUUUCCCCUCCAUAGCACUGUGAAAGCAGUGACUGACAGCCGUAGCAUUGACUUUAUGAGUGAAUAACACAUAGUCUCCCAUUAUGGAAAUG